rnacentral:lncRNA from 1 species
GUCGUGUUGAAAUUUAUUUAAAAGGGAAUCUUUCGAAAUAAGUAAUUAAUCGUGCAUGUAACCCCACCUUGAUUGAUUGGAAUAUUUAUUAAGAAAAUCGCAUACAAAUGUGUGUCAUUCAAUUUACAAGGCCGAACAGUUUUUAUACACUAUAUGAACACUUGGAUUUACAUAAUUCAUAAUUUAAGAAAAAAAGUAUUCGUUUCUCUGUAUUUCGCCGUAAAAGUUUUCGUUUUUUUUCAAAGCAAAAUUAUUUUUAUAUUUUGUCAAUAAGCAGGAAUACAAGUGUUUACGGAAUCAAAUAAACGAUAAGUUGUCCUCUUAAUGAAAUCGUUUUCCAACAAGGCAUCACACUCCUGUUGAACGAUUUAUUUUAAUUUACGUUAUACGGUUUUGCAAUUUUUCAAUGACAAAACCGGAUCAUGCUUUGAUAGAUUUAGGGAAGAAACCGGGUCAUACACUUUGACCGGGUCUUUCAAUGUUGACAUGGACCAUUAUUUCGUACCCUGAACAUAAUUACAAAUAUUGA